CAGGCCCUUAGCUGAGAAUUGUACCCUCUGAUCUAAGACAUUCACUCAUAGAAGGAACUGGCAGCCGGGGGAGAAGUAGUGAUCAAGGCAAGAUCUGAUGAGAGCCAUCAGUGGACAGAAUCAGAGGAAUCAAUGGCAUUGUCUGAUCUUCAUCCCACCUCCCACCUAGCAAACUUUCGGUUUCUGAUGGUCUGCCAUGGCAGGAUGAUGGCAAUUGGAACUGAGUGGAUGACCUGGGACUAUUGGAAACUGGUGUGGCCAUUACAUUUGAAUUUCUGGGCUGUUUGGGCAUUAUGUUUCCUUUUACUGUUUUCUUUGACUAACAGAGGUUACCUCAAAGACAUCUAAUUCCCAGGUAAAUUGUGGCCUACUUGUUACCAGCCCCAUCUCACUUUAUGUUUGGUUAAGAAAGGAAGAGGCAGGAGACAGAGUUUUAUUCCUUCAGGUUGCUAGCCCAAAGUGGCCAGUACUCACACCACUUAUUUCCUGACUAUGCCUUUUUGUAUUUGUACAUAUGCCCAAGUUUCUAAUAAAUGUGAAAUAUUUCA